UUUUACGGAGAGGAGAAAAGGAGUGAUUGCCACGAGCUGUUCGAAGAGAGAGAGGAGUUUGUGAAGAAGUUUGGUCCAAUCAAGAGUUGUGCCGUUUGCGUGAAGCUAGUGUCGAAGUUCAGUGAGAAUCUAGCCGAUCAAAGCCGAGAUCUUCGACCAUUUGUAACCACACUAGAGGAAAGCUAGAGGGCGUGUUGGGCGAUAGGAAGUCGGAGUAUUUUGUGUGCCUUUGUGUAAAACCAGUAUGUUUAAUAUGUAAAUCCUUUUGGCACUAGGCCUUGGCCACAAACUUUAUAAGUUCUUUUGGUAACCUUUUUGUGUAAUAAAAAUUAUUAUGUCUAAA